CAUUUGGAUGAUUCGCAGCCUGAUCCGACUUCCGCAAUCGAUUCAGAGGGCUCGGACAUCCCAUUCGCGGCAUCCCUUCAGCUGGGUCAUCUGAAGUCACUCUCGAAAUUGAGCAUCACCUACUGUCCAAAUAUUGGUUCGUUGCUCGGUUUGCAAGAGUUGAAUAACCUUGGAGAUCUAACUCUGAUGGGAUGUCCGAAACUCGCCCAUGCAGAAACCAAGCUAGGGAGUCUCUCAAUAAGAUGGUUCAGCACUGAUGCUCCCUCGAUGCUCGAUGUCCUGCUCGCAGAAGAAGCCCUUGCCUCUCUCCAGCACUUGCGUAUUGCGGAGUUCAAAGAAGAAUCAUUCAGGUCGGAGGAAGAGCAAGUGUUUCAGCACCUCACCUUGCUCGAAUACCUAGUCUUCGAGAGUUGUAGCAGCAUCAAGUCCUUGCCCAACAACUUGGAAAGCCUAUCAUCCCUUGAAGGCCUGCGUAUUAUCAACUGCCCAAAUAUCAUAUCAUUAUCGGAUCUGCCGAGAUCACUUUUAUGUCUCCACUGGGAACACUGCAAUCCGGUGUUGAAGGGGCGAUGCCAAAAGCCUCAUGGCCAAGAUUGGUGUAAAAUAUCGCACAUCCCUACGGUAUCACUCGACUGAGUCGCCCUUUAGUAUUGGCUUGCUUUGCCAAAAUUCGGAGGUAUGCUCUCCCAGGCACUACUUUUAACAAUUGCACAUUUUAAAUUAGGUACAUGAAACUUGCAUUUUUUUUUUCUUAAAUUAACUUUUGUACCAAUUGCUUUAUGAAUUUUUUUUAUUGGAUGAUAAGCUUUAAUUUGGCCCCCCCGUGGUUUAGCGUGUUUUCACUUUAUCAUCUUGUGGUUCAAAAUUUGCACUUUACUAUUCUGUGGUUAAUUUCUGGUUCACCAAAAAAAUUUACUGUCAAAGAGGGCAGCAAAAGUGAAAAUAUUUUUUUGAAAACCACAGAGUCUAUGAAACAAAAAUAAAAUCACAAGUCCAUAGGAUGACAAAAUAAAAAAGUGCUGAACCACAUGAAUAGCUGCAAAGUGAAAUGCGCUAAACCGCACGGGUUAUAUAUAAGUUUACCCUUUUUCUUUUAUUUCACUACGUCUGGGCCCAAUAUUAACAGUAUAUUAAUUAUUCUGUGGAAUAUGCAACGUACUUAUAUAUUGUGUUACCUGAUGGAUUAUUUUUUAAACCUUGAUGCAAACCUUGAUGCAGUAGUGCUAUUUUUUUUUAUGUUUUUUUAAAAAUUGAUAGACUAGGUACCGAAGUGUAAAAAUUUGGAGGUCAAGCAGCAUCUGCAUGUUUUUGCCUUGGAAUAAAAGAGAGAAGCAUGUAUCUGCUGCUAAGUUAUACAAAUCUCAACAGCUGUUUAUGUUUGAUUUGUUUAUAAUCUGAUUCUGCUCUGCUGCGGGAGUUCGCAAAAAGCAUAAUAGAUGGCUCCAUCAUAAGAUAUCUAUCAUCUUGUGUUAAUUCUUCUUCUUCUUCUUCUUCUUUUUUUUACUCCUUUCUUUUGUUGUGAAAAUAAUCCGGCAGCGGUUGAAAACUUGUAAAAAAUUUCCAAUCAACUGCACUAGAAAAUUAGCUGCAAGAAUGUCAUCAGUUUGGGUUAUUUAUUCGGUAUUGUUCAUCGACAGCGUCCGUAUCUGUAUAUUGUAAUGUGAUGAUAUUUAUCUAUAUAUAUAUNGAUAUUUCGUAGUGUGAUGAUCAAGUCAUAUAUUUUCCUUCCUUUUCUGUUCAAGAAAUUUCUCUGCGUCAAGAAGCAACAACAGAUAUUCAACAAACAAAAAAAAAAAAAAAAUCACCAGCAGAAAAGACAAAUUGCUCAACCAAGUUUUAUUUUGGUCCUCAAACUUUUUUAAGUUUGAUGCUGCAGUCCUCAAAUUCUUAAAAGAGUUUCACAAUAGUCCUUUUAUGUUUUAACUACUAGAGAAUAAAAUUAGUGCCUGCACCCAUCGCAUCUAUACACCGAGGUACCAUGCAUUUAUCGACUACGUUUUCCGUCGCGUAUUUUAACUAUAUCAUCCAUCGAGUUAUAGCUUUCUUCUGUAUAAAAAAAUUUGAUCUCUAAAUUAAAAGACGCGAUAGAUCAUGGAAGAAAAACAAAUAUAUUAUAUACUGGUGUACAAAUAAACAGAUGAACCAGAUGCAAGCAAAAAAUUUUAAUCUCAAGUGAGGACUAAAUUAAGACAUUGUUGAAAGGUUAGCGACUAAAUUGAAAUCUUAUCAGAAGGCCGCGGACUUGAAUGCUAAAUCAAAAGUUUGAGGAUUCAAAUGAAAUUCACUCAAACUUUAUUAGGGACUAGCAGUACGAUUUAUUUGCCCAAAAAGAAUUAAUAAUUCAAUGGAGGUCCCCAUCACCGCAUGACGGUUCGCCAUCUUUCUGAUUGGGACCCCUAAACAACUAAUAUCCUUUAUUUAUGUUUCUAUACUCAGGUUAAAAUUUUACAAAAUUUACCAACUCUAUUAGUUGUUAGCCAUUAAUUGAUCUAAUUUAUUUACUAAAAAGUAACUCAAGUUAUUAAAUUUGAUGAACUCACCAAUCAAUUUAGUAACUUUCCUAAACUUUUUUGGACUAAAAUCUCUGAAUUUCAAGGAAAAAUAAAAAUAAAAAGUAAAUACUUAUAUGAACUUAUAUGAAGUAUGGCACGUCUUGAUACAACUACUAAACUACACAAUCUUGAAUACUUUGAUUUUCGCACUCAACUUUUCAAUUUAUCCCAUAUUAAGCCAUUUGAUGGUUCUUCCGGUAUAAAAUUUAGAUCUUUAGCAUGAGUUUUAUGAAAUAUACAAAUCAAACUCUUAAAAACAUAUGAUACAUCCAAAUCUGAAAUAUAAGAGUCAUCAAAUGAUUCAAAUCAAAAUUUUUAGAGAUUGGAUAGUUGGACCAAGAUGGAUUAUAAAGCUAUUAAUAUUUUGAAAGCACACGGGACACGGAAUACGAUAUGACUCGAAUAUGAUGACAUAAUAGGUUUCAGAAAAUUAGGACAGGAACACAAUAUAAACACCUCUAAUAAAAUAUUAUAUUAUUAAUAUACUAAUAUAUAUACUAUAUUCAAACUAUUAAAUUUAUUUAAAUAUUGUAAUAUUUCUUAUGCAAAUAAAUAUUAAUAAUUUUUCAUUGAUAGUUCAUAUUUUAAAAAAAAAAAAUUCUCCACCAUAAUUAACUUAUUUAUAUUGUCUAAAUUUUUUCUUAUACGUUAAUAAAAAAAAUCAAAAUAUUUAUCAUCUAAUAUAUGUUUAAAAAAAUUAAAAUAAAUAAAUUAAUAAUUUUUUACUGAUUGCCCCUAGUGGCUAGUGCAAGUGGCAAAUUACUUGGUAAUUGAUACCCGAGGUUUCAAAUUCGAAUUCUAAUUGAUUCACGUUUCUAGUUAAGUUUAUUUCUAAAAAAAAAAAUAAAAUGGAUAGUAUGCUGCCUUUUUCUCUAAAAAAAAAAGCAAUUUUUAAUAAGACGCAUCAUGGACUCGCAUUAGUAAAUAAACAUAUUUUUUUAAUGAAAUGCAUCAUGGACCCGCAUGGAACGGGCGUCAAUAGUAUAUCUGCAUCGGACACGAGGUGAUGACUUAUAAAAAUGUUUGUAAUACAUAGACGGUAAAAGAAAGUUCUUAAACUUUUUAGAUAACACAACGCGGUUGAUAUACUAAGAAGGAUUGGAUUUUUACAAGAUGACCAGUAUUAUUGUAGCUCUUUUGUAACAUUAUCUUACCAUCUUUGUAACAUUAUCUUGCGACCGUCUCUAGCGCAAGUAACAACGGAUUUGUGGUUGGUAUUUGAGAUCUCAAGUUCGAAUUCUAGUUGAUUCACAUUUUCAGCUAAGUUAUUUCUAAAUGAAGUAAACGAAGCGGAUAGCUUACUAUUUAUCUCUUAAAAAAAAAAAAAAAGAAAUGCGCGCGCAACACUUCUUUAUAUAAAAGAAUUAAAAUUUUAAAUAGUUUUAUUUAUGUAUUUGAUAAAAUUUGAUUGUAUGUAUGUACAGUAAAUAUAUUUUGUUUAAUCAUAAUUAUCUAAUUUGGUAUAAAAAUUGGAAUAAUAAUAGUAGAUUUAGUUAAAUUAGGUUUAUUAUUAAAUUUAAGNUAAUUUUAUUUAUGUAUUUUAUAAAAUUUGAUUGUGUGUAUGUACAAUAAAUAUAUUUUGUUUAAUCAUAAUUAUCUAAUUUGGUAUAAAAAUUGGAAUAAUAAUAGUAGAUUUAGUUAAAUUAGGUUUAUUAUUAAAUUUAAGUAGAUUAAAAAUUUUAAAUUAUAUAAGUUGAAAUUUUUAUUUGAUCUUAAUCAUCUAGUUUUGUAGAAUAAUAUGAAGAAUCAUAAACGAUAAGUUAAGUUUGAUUUUAAAAUUUGAAUUCGCUUAAAAACUUAAAUCAAGUACAUUGAUAAUUUACCGUAGUCCUCUUCAAGUAGGGUAAACCCCUGUUUAAUCAAAAAAAAAAGUACAUUGAUAAUUUAAAGGCUAAAUUACAAAAAAUUCUUCCUGUCAAUGCCUACAGAAAACUCUAAUCCUAUAAUUUUUCAUGCAAAAAUUAAAAAAUUGAUAACAAAAAAGAUUUUUUUGUUAUUAAUAGUAUUACAGUUUAGCGCGUGCGCUCUCUCUCUCUAUAUAUUAUUAAAGUAUUAAUAAGCUUAUACGACUUUUUAGACUUCAUACAUACCUAAAUUAAUAAAAAAAAAAUUCCGCACUACAAUUAUCAAUGUAUUAAUAAUUAUAUAAUAUAAACCUAAUGUUAUCAUCGCUCCAAAUUAGAAAAACAAAAACCAGCGGAUGCCACUACUGUCGGUGACCACUCACCUGGGUGGAAAUUUCCUUCAGGAGGGAGAGGCGGUCUUUUUAUUUUUAUUUUUUUAAUUUUUUUUUAACUCUCACUUGAUGUUUGUUUUCUCACCUACCGAAGUCAAGAUUAGGAUGGUUCCGAACGAGAAGCCAGCCCACGCCAGUACGCCGAGGAAUUCUACAAUGUCACACUUGCACCACGUCAUCAAUAACAAGUCAAUCACAUUCAUUCUUUUCAAAUAAAAAUACAAUAAAAAUACUUUUUUAUAAUUAUAAUGGGACAUAUAUUUAUAAAAAAAUUAAUUUGAUUGAUUUGUUACGCCACGUCACUAAUAUACCCGUUGUAUUCUAAAAUUUUUUCGGUACGCCACUACCUAAUACCACUCACGGGCGUGAAAAGUUCACAACGACGCGUUUUUUUUUUUUAUAUAUAUUUAUUUAUUUUUUAAUACUCCGAAUCUCUCAUCUCUCUUUAUACAUUACUAGUGAAGGCCCGCGCUUCGCGGCGGGAAAUUUGCGUAAUUUUUAAAAUAUUGUGAACAAAUUUUUUUAAUUUUAAAUUAAAUAUAAAAAUUAUAUAUAGUAAAUAAAUAUAUAUUUAUAAAUAAAAUUAGAUAUAUAUAAAUUAGAUUUAAAAUUUAAAAUUUGAAAUUUAUAUAUAAAAUUUAAAAUUUAAAGUUGUAAAAUUCUCUCUCUCUCCUGCUCUUUCUCAUCUCUCUACCCCCUCUCUCUCUGCUCUGCUCGUUCCCUCUCUCGGCCUCGCGCCCACCCCCUUCCCUCCUUCCACCGUCGGUGGUCGCCGCGCGCAGCGCCCCGCUGCGCACCGCCGCACUAGCGAGCCCCCCUUCCGCUGCCACCCGCCGGCGCGGCUCCUCGCGGCCGUCGCGCACGCUCCCCUGCUGCCGCCCGCGCACCGCGCGCUCCCCGCUGAUCCCCGCCGCGCCGCAACUUCGCCUCCUGCUCCUGCUCCGCCCGCUGGGUGGUGGUGGAUAGAAGGGAGAGACGCAAGAGAGAAAAGGGUGGGAGGAGAGAGCGGGCGGGGGAUGGAGAGGUAACAAGAGAGGAGGGGACCCGCAACCCUGCCGGGCGCGGGCCGAGAGGCCCCCCUGCGACCCCCACUCCGCUGGCGCAGUCGCGCGUUCGUGGGGUGGAGCCAGGGGGUUGGGGGGGGGUGGGGUGGGGCAGGAGAGGGGGGGAUUGGGGGGGGGCUAGGAGAAGAAGGGGAAAAAGAGUGAGAGAAGGGGGGGCAGUGGGGGUGCUUCGCUUCUCUUCUGGUCUGCUCUCUCCUCUCAUCUCUCUCUCUCCCCUCUGUCUUCCUCUCGCCUCUCUCCCCUCCUCACUCUCUGCUCUCUGCGCUCGGCCCGCCGAAGGCCCCCGCCAAACGCGGGGAGGCCCCCUGGUGCUCGGCGGGCGCACAUGGUAGCUCUCUCUCUCUCUCCUUCUACUCUGCUCUCUCUCUCUCCCUCUGUUCUCUCUCUCCCCCUCUGUCUGUACGCUCUCUCUCUCUCUCCUCCCUCUGUUCUCUCUCUCCCUCUCUCUCUCGCGCGAGGCACCCGCAAAACGCGGGGAGCCCGCUGCAGGGCGGGGGUUCGCUGCGGAGGCGACGGGUGGCGGGUUGAGGGUUCGCCUUUUAUUAGUUGUAUAGAUUAUUAAGUCGAGUCAAGAAUCAAGAUUGGACAGAUUAAAUGCUUUACCAAAUCACCACUACCAAAACUACCACUCAGCUGGGGGGAUAUUUUCCUUCGCGACGACGCGGUUUGUUGGAGCGCCUUUUCAACCUCUAUCCCCAGCUCACUCCAAAGAACUCUCAUACUGUCGUCGUCGUCGGCGCUAUCAUCCGACCGGCGAAUCGAUGGCAGAAGCGGCGGCGAUCAUCUCGGGAUUCAAAUGGUUGGCUCCUGUCGCGAUCAAGCUCCUCAAGAAGGGCUACACCUUCAUCGCGAUGGAUGUGGAUGAAAAGAUGCGGGAUCUGCAAAAUAUGGUCAUCCCCCAAAUGGAGAUGCUGAUUGAUGCCGCAGAAAAUCACCCGCAUAAAGACCAACUCCAUGGUUGGCUGCGGACCCUCGAGAAAGCAGUUUACGAAGCAGAGGACGUGCUGGACCUGCACGACUAUUACUUUCUCAAAAAAAAAGUGAAGAGUAGUGCAGGAGGAAUCAAGGUACGUCUUGAAUCUCUUCCUCCAAUCAAAUACUUAUCAAAAAAAAUUAGUAGAAAGCUGAAAAACAGCUUAAGUAGAAAGCUGAAAAACAGCUUGGUUAAGCUGGAGAAGACUGUUGUGAAAGCCAGAGAAUUUUGGCAAUCCUUGCCUGGAGGGAGUAGUAAUGUAAGGGGGUCCGAAACACGUCGGAGGGUCACCACCACCUCGCUGCCCCCGCACAAAGUGUUCGGCCGAGACAAGCAGCGUGAUCAUAUCGUUGACCUCCUGCAUAAGACGGCUGGGCUCGAACCUGAAUCUAGCUCUGUUAAAUGCUAUUCUGUCGUAGCCAUCGUUGGUCUAGGAGGAGCUGGGAAGACGACUCUUGCACAAUAUGUCUGUGAUUAUGAAAAAAAUCAAGAACCCAAGCAUUUCGAUGUCAUCAUGUGGGUUCAUGUAUCUGAGAGAUUGGAUGUCGAAAUGUUGAUAAAAAAAAUGGUGGAGUCGGCAUCUGGAGAGGAAUGCCCUGACCUUAAUAAUCUCGACACCCUUCAAAAAAAAUUGGAAGGUUCCCUAACAUCAAAAAUGUUUUUACUCGUAUUGGACGAUGUAUGGAGCAAGAAAGGGGCAGCCGAGCUGCAGUGGGAGCAGUUACUCGCUCCUUUAAAAAAGGGCAAUAGAGGAAGUAAGAUCUUAAUGACGACCCGUGAGAAGGGCAUAGCGGAUAGUUUAGGCGCUAGAGACAUUUUAGACCUAAAAGAACUAGAAAAAAGCGACUUCUUGUCCUUGUUCAGGUACUAUGCCUUUGGCGAUGCCAAAAUUGAUGAUAACAGCCUAUACAAAGAAUUAGAAGAGAUCGUGAGCCAAAACGAACCGAAGCUGCAUGGCUCUCCCUUAGCGGCGAGAAUGGUUGCUAGUCAGCUACGCAAAAGUACAUUUAAAAGGACGGAUGUGGAUGUUUGGAAGAGGACUUUAAGUGAUGACCUAUUGAAAGACACUAUGAAGUCUCUGUUGUGGAGUUAUCAAAACCUAGAAGCACAUUUGCAGAGGUGCUUCCUAUAUUGCAGUCUAUUUUUUAAGGGUCAGAAAAUCUCGCGCAAGAAGCUAAUUCACCUGUGGGUCGCCAAUGGCAUCAUCAAGACAGUGGAUGAGAGCAAGAGCUGCAAGACAAUUGAGGAUAUAGGCCAAGAUUACUUUGAUGAAUUGCUAUCCAGCUCUUUCUUUCAACCGACAGAGGACGAUGAUCUCUACAUUGUCCAUGAUCUAUUGCAUGAUCUAGCAGAGAUGGUUUCUAAAGGUCAAUUUCUUAGAGUUGAUGGAAAUUUGACAGAGGCAGUAGGACCUCUUACUCAAGAGAUUCGUCAUCUUUCCCUCCGCAUCGAUACACUGCAUCAUAUCGUUGAGAAGAUAUGCAAUUUCAAAAAUCUACGCACCUUGAUAAUCUUUAAGAUGACUGAUGAUGAUUAUUUCAUUGAUGAUCUUCUCCACAACAUAUUUGUCAAACUGACAAAACUAAGGGUGGUGGAUCUUGGCGAAUUCCAAUUAAGAAAACUACCGGAAUCAAUUGGGGGCUUGAAGCAUCUGCGCCACCUUGAUCUUCAUAAGUCAUCAUUUGAAAUUUUGCCAGAAUCAAUUUAUACACUCUACCAUUUAGAGUUUCUGCAUAUAUCUAAAUGUACAUUUGUAGCAAAAGGACUAGCCAACUGGAUUAAUUUGCACCAUUUAUAUGUCUCUGCAAUGAUUUUGAAUGUAGCUGGGAUUGGGAGCUCGAAACAACUGGAGAACCUAAGACAGUUUCAGGGGGACUCGAUACAUAUUAAUGGUCUUGAGAAUGUUAAAGAAAAGGGGGAGGCCCCUGUGGAGAUAAAAGGUAUUGGGCAACUUUGUUUAGAAUGGAGUACCACCGAUAACAUUAGCAGAUCGUCAGACAUGGAUGCACAAGUACUCGAGGGUCUUCGUCCGCCUCCUGAUCUUCAUUUCCUCAAAAUCAAGGGCUAUCAGAGUUGCGUAUUGCCAAGUUGGAUGGUACGAGACCCACACCUCUUACACAAUCUUAUAUCUCUUAAGCUUGUCGAAUGUCGACAGCUAAAGCAACUCCCGAUCCUUUCCCGAACCCUGAAAAUCCUCGUGCUUUCUGCUUGCUCCUCCCUUCCAAUUGUCUCCAAAGAGGAUUUAGCAAUUAUUAGGUCCACACAAGAUGUAAGAAUUUCCCAAGUAGUGACUUUUAUGGAGGGCUUGGUUGCUACAUACGGAUCCCAUAUUGUAUCGGAAAUACGUUGGGAUUUACGGCGUGGGUAUGAUAAACAGAAAUUGCGCAAUUGGCUAGAAAAGACCAUGGACAUUGCCCACCAAAACCUGCGGGAGAAGGCGGAGGCGCAGCAAGUCCUGCUCCCUUCUCUUGGAUUUCUUGAUAUCCGCUCAUGCCCACUCACCAACAGCACAUUGCGGGAAGGUUUGCGAGGUCUGACUACUCUAAGAUCCCUGAAACUUUGUAAUAUUGUUUCACUUACAUCCCUUCCCUCGGCGGAUGUGUUGGGAUGUCUGACGGUGCUCAAAACGCUACAUGUCGAACAAUGCUGGUUCCUAACCUCGCUAGGGGGUUUGCAAGCCCUCAUCUCAUUGCAGAUUCUCUCCAUAUCCUUUUGUCCCAACCUAUCUGCAGAAGGUGGCAGCACCUCUAUCCUGCCCUCGUCUCUAAUGUGGCUCGUGAUCGAGGCAUGUCAUUGGAAGCAAUAUUUGGAUGAUUCGCAGCCUGGUCCGACUUCCUCAAUCAAUUCAGAGAGCUCAGACGUUCCAUUCGCGGCAUCCCUUCAGCUGGGUCGUCUGAAAUCACUCCAAAGUUUGAGCAUCACCAACUGUCCAAAUAUUGGUUCGUUGCUCGGUCUGCAAGAGUUGAAUCACCUUCAAAGUCUCACUUUGGUGGGAUGUCCGAAACUCGCCCAUGCAGAAACCAAGCUAGGGAAUCUCUUCGGAAGACGUUUCCACACUGAUGCUCCCUCGCUGCUCGCAGAAGAAGCCCUUGCCUCUCUCCAGCACUUGCGUAUUGCGGAGUUCAAAGAAGAAUCAUUCAGGUCGGAGGAAGAGCAAGUGUUUCAGCACCUCUUCUCGCUCCAUGAGCUAAGCUUCGAGCAUUGCAGCAUCAAGUCCUUGCCUAACAUAUCAUUCCUUAAAAAGCUGAGUAUUUCCGACUGCCCAAAUAUCACGUCAUUGCCGGAUCUGCCGGAAUCACUCCGGUAUUUGAGCAUCACCAACUGUCCAAAUAUUGGUUUGUUGCUCGGUCUGCAAGAGUUGAAUGACCUUAGAUAUCUAACUUUGAUGGGAUGUCCGAAACUCGCCCAUGCAGAAACCAAGUUAGGGAGUCCUGUU
rnacentral:lncRNA from 1 species